rnacentral:lncRNA from 1 species
GCGUUUGCUGGCAGAGCUGAAUCAGCUGAGAGCCCGAGAGAAGGAGACGAAGAGAAAGCGAAGAGAAGCGAAGGCCGCCAGGAGGAAGGGCUACGAAUCCUGCAACGCCGAGGAGGUCGUCAGAAUCAGCAAACCAACAUCAAUUGCAGCACCCGAGUGCAAACCGCAGACUCCGGUGUCAGAAUGUUGCAGCAGGGGCGGAACAGCGGUGGUGGAGAAGCCUAUGAACAAGAUCGAAGUGUGCAUGGGAGGGAAGUGCAUAAGAUCUGGUGCACCGGCGCUGAUGGAGGAGCUCA